CCUACGGGUGGCAGCAGUGAGGAAUAUUGGUCAAUGGGCUUACGCCUGAACCAGCCAAGUCGCGUGAGGGAAGACUGCCCUAUGGGUUGUAAACCUCUUUUGUCAGGGAGCAACGCCGGCUACGUGUAGCCGGACUGAGAGUACCUGAAGAAAAAGCAUCGGCUAACUCCGUGCCAGCAGCCGCGGUAAUACGGGGGAUGCGAGCGUUAUCCGGUUUUAUUGGGUUUAAAGGGUGCGUAGGCGGCAUGCCAAGUCAGCGGUAAAAUCGCGGGGCUCAACCUCGCUCCGCCGUUGAAACUGGCGGUCUUGAGUGGGCGAGAAGUAUGCGGAAUGCGUGGUGUAGCGGUGAAAUGCAGAGAUAUCACGCAGAACUCCGAUUGCGAAGGCAGCAUACCGGCGCCCAACUGACGCUGAAGCACGAAAGCGUGGGUAUCGAACAGGAUUAGAUACCCCAGUAGUC
rnacentral:rRNA from 1 species